GCCAGUGUGGCAUAGUGGUUUGAGUGUUAGACUACAACUCUGGAUACCAGGAUUUGAAUCCCAGAUUGGCC
rnacentral:tRNA from 1 species